CGGAGGGGGGUUAGCGUUGUUCGGAAUGACUGGGGCGUAAAAGCGCGCGUAGGCGGAUCGCAAAAGUUGGGGGGUGAAAAGCCCCAGGGGCUCAACCCCUGGGAAUUGCCUUCAAGACUCGCGGUCUGGAGUUCGAGAGAGGUGGGUGGAAUUCCGAGUGUAGAGGUGAAAUUCGUAGAUAUUCGGAGGAACACCAGUGGCGAAAGGCGGCCCACUGGCUCGACACUGACGCUGAGGCGCGAAAAGCGCGGGGAGCAAAACAGGAUU
rnacentral:rRNA from 1 species